AGAGUUUGAUCCUGGCUCAGAGUGAACGCUGGCGGCAUGCCUAAUACAUGCAAGUCGAACGAGGUUACGGAUUGGGUAACUAAUUUGUAGCUUAGUGGCGGACGGGUGAGUAACGCGUGGGCAAUCUGCCCUCUAGCCUGGGAUAACAGUUCGAAAGGACUGCUAACACCGGAUAUGGUGGCAUCACGGCAUCGUGAAGCCAUGAAAGUUUACACUAGAGGAUGAGCCCGCGUCCCAUUAGCUAGUUGGUGAGGUAACGGCCCACCAAGGCGACGAUGGGUAGCCGACCUGAGAGGGUGAACGGCCACACUGGGACUGAGACACGGCCCAGACUCCUACGGGAGGCAGCAGUAGGGAAUUUUCCGCAAUGGGCGAAAGCCUGACGGAGCAACGCCGCGUGAGGGAUGAAGGUCUUCGGAUCGUAAACCUUUGUCUAGAGGGACGAUAAUGACGGUACCUCUGGAGGAAGCCACGGCUAACUACGUGCCAGCAGCCGCGGUAAUACGUAGGUGGCGAGCGUUGUCCGGAAUUAUUGGGCGUAAAGCGCGCGCAGGCGGGAAAGUAAGUCCACUUUAAAAGUGCGGGGCUCAACCCCGUGAUGGGGUGGAAACUGCUUUUCUUGAGUGCCGGAGAGGAAAGUGGAAUUCCCAGUGUAGCGGUGAAAUGCGUAGAUAUUGGGAGGAACACCAGUGGCGAAGGCGACUUUCUGGACGGUGUCUGACGCUGAGGCGCGAAAGCCAGGGGAGCGAACGGGAUUAGAUACCCCGGUAGUCCUGGCGGUAAACGAUGGGUACUAGGUGUAGGGGGUAUCGACCCCCCCUGCGCCGGAGUUAACGCAAUAAGUACCCCGCCUGGGGAGUACGGCCGCAAGGUUGAAACUCAAAGGAAUUGACGGGGGCCCGCACAAGCGGUGGAGCAUGUGGUUCAAUUCGACGCAACGCGAAGAACCUUACCUGGGCUCGAAAUGUAGUGGAUCGGGGUAGAAAUAUCCUUUCCCGCAAGGGCUGCUAUAUAGGUGCUGCAUGGCUGUCGUCAGCUCGUGUCGUGAGAUGUUGGGUUAAGUCCCGCAACGAGCGCAACCCUUAUUGCCAGUUGCCAGCAAGUAAUGUUGGGCACUCUGGCGAAACCGCCCCGGAUAACGGGGAGGAAGGUGGGGAUGACGUCAAGUCCUCAUGGCCUUUAUGUCCAGGGCUACACACGUGCUACAAUGGGCGGUACAAAGCGCCGCGAACCCGCAAGGGGGAGCCAAUCGCAGAAAACCGUUCUCAGUUCGGAUUGCAGGCUGCAACUCGCCUGCAUGAAGCUGGAAUCGCUAGUAAUGGCAGAUCAGCACGCUGCCGUGAAUACGUUCCCGGGCCUUGUACACACCGCCCGUCACAUCACGAAAGUGGAUUGUACUAGAAGUCUGCAGGCUGACCCGCAAGGGGGGCAGCGGCCCAAGGUAUGAUCCAUGAUUGGGGUGAAGUCGUAACAAGGUAACC
rnacentral:rRNA from 1 species